AUGGAGCCGACCUUGAAAUACCACCCUUUAAUGUUUGAUGUUCUAACGUUGACCCGUAAUCCGGGUUGCGGACAGUGUCUGGUGGGUAGUUUGACUGGGGCGGUCUCCUCCUAAAGAGUAACGGAGGAGCACGAAGGUUGGCUAAUCCUGGUCGGACAUCAGGAGGUUAGUGCAAUGGCAUAAGCCAGCUUGACUGCGAGCGUGACGGCGCGAGCAGGUGCGAAAGCAGGUCAUAGUGAUCCGGUGGUUCUGAAUGGAAGGGCCAUCGCUCAACGGAUAAAAGGUACUCCGGGGAUAACAGGCUGAUACCGCCCAAGAGUUCAUAUCGACGGCGGUGUUUGGCACCUCGAUGUCGGCUCAUCACAUCCUGGGGCUGAAGUAGGUCCCAAGGGUAUGGCUGUUCGCCAUUUAAAGUGGUACGCGAGCUGGGUUUAGAACGUCGUGAGACAGUUCGGUCCCUAUCUGCCG
rnacentral:rRNA from 2 species